AGAAUAUCCAUUUUGAUGUACUUAUUUUGAUGCAAUUGACUGAUCGUCCUUGUGCUUGUUCAAACACAUAGCCCAGAAAUGAAUGCACCACCUUCACAAGAGAUGUCAUAUUAUGAUCAUGUCAAGAAACGCCAUGAAAACAAAGGCUGCCUUUAUGCCUUGUCAGUAUAUUUCUAACUUCGUUCUCUUUUCUUCUCCUUUUACUCUUCUAGAGUGGUCCUUUUUUACUGUAUAGAUAUUGAAAUGGCUUUUUGUUGUAUAUCUUAUGCAGUUUGUUCACUCUGUGCUGCUGCUGUUGCUGCUACGAGGCCUGCGAGUGCUGUGUGGA
rnacentral:misc_RNA from 1 species